CCUACGGGAGGCAGCAGUGGGGAAUCUUGGACAAUGGGCGCAAGCCUGAUCCAGCCAUGCCGCGUGAGUGAUGAAGGCCCUAGGGUCGUAAAGCUCUUUCGCCUGUGAAGAUAAUGACGGUAGCAGGUAAAGAAACCCCGGCUAACUCCGUGCCAGCAGCCGCGGUAAUA
rnacentral:rRNA from 1 species